rnacentral:piRNA from 1 species
UCUUUGUGAGUUUGGAGGUGGACCC